GCCGAUCAAGGCUUCUUCAGUAGAUAAAAACUUUACAGUAAUAUUACACACCCUAUUUUUAUACUGUACAUCAAUAAUUAAAAUUCCUAGUAUUGAAUUCUCUAGAGUCUAUAAUUGUUCAUAUUAAAAUUUGAUAAAAGUGCCUAUUGAAUUCCGUGGAGCCUAAUUGUUCCCAUUAAAAAUUAACAAUUAAAAUUAAAAUCAAGGGUCCUAAUAUAUAUAUAUAUAUAUAUAUUGCGUACGUGUUACUAAAGUAUCAUAAGAACGCCCUCAUAUAUGAUAACCUGUUUAUUAUAUAUUUGUGCCUUUUAUAUCAGGGUCAGAAUUUAUUAGAAUAGUAAUCAUUGCCCCAAUGCAACAAUUAACAAAAAACAGUGACGAAAAAGAUAUCUGGGUGACACAUCGUUUUUAUGUCACCUGUUAUCGCCCUGAAAAAGGCACAAGUAUGUGAUAACUAAAAUUGCUACAACUUUUAUUAAACUCCUUUUAGGCUAACAACUAUACUAAAUGUUAUUUCGAAUGGACAUGUUAUUUCGUUUAAAGUGCCAAUAACGUCAUGAUGGAGCACUUGAACAGCCAGCUGACGAAUCU